GGGGAUUAGUGGCGAACGGGUGAGUAACACGUGAGUAACCUGCCCUGGACUCUGGGAUAACCCCGAGAAAUCGGAGCUAAUACCGGAUAGGACCCUGUACCGCAUGGUGUGGGGUGGAAAGUUUUUUCGGUUUGGGAUGGACUCGCGGCCUAUCAGCUUGUUGGUGAGGUAAUGGCUCACCAAGGCGUCGACGGGUAGCCGGCCUGAGAGGGUGACCGGCCACACUGGGACUGAGACACGGCCCAGACUCCUACGGGAGGCAGCAGUGGGGAAUAUUGCACAAUGGGCGCAAGCCUGAUGCAGCAACGCCGCGUGCGGGAUGACGGCCUUCGGGUUGUAAACCGCUUUUAGUAAGGAAGAAGGGGAGCUUGCUCCUUGACGGUACUUGCAGAAAAAGGACCGGCUAACUACGUGCCAGCAGCCGCGGUAAUACGUAGGGUCCGAGCGUUGUCCGGAAUUAUUGGGCGUAAAGAGCUCGUAGGCGGUUUGUCGCGUCUGCUGUGAAAUCCCGAGGCUCAACCUCGGGUCUGCAGUGGGUACGGGCAGACUGGAGUGCGGUAGGGGAGAAUGGAAUUCCUGGUGUAGCGGUGGAAUGCGCAGAUAUCAGGAGGAACACCGAUGGCGAAGGCAGUUCUCUGGGCCGUAACUGACGCUGAGGAGCGAAAGCGUGGGGAGCGAACAGGAUUAGAUACCCUGGUAGUCCACGCCGUAAACGUUGGGCGCUAGAUGUGGGGACCUUUCCACGGUUUCCGUGUCGUAGCUAACGCAUUAAGCGCCCCGCCUGGGGAGUACGGCCGCAAGGCUAAAACUCAAAGGAAUUGACGGGGGCCCGCACAAGCGGCGGAGCAUGCGGAUUAAUUCGAUGCAACGCGAAGAACCUUACCAAGGCUUGACAUAUACGAGAACGCUGCAGAAAUGUAGAACUCUUUGGACACUCGUAUACAGGUGGUGCAUGGUUGUCGUCAGCUCGUGUCGUGAGAUGUUGGGUUAAGUCCCGCAACGAGCGCAACCCUCGUCGCAUGUUGCCAGCACGUCAUGGUGGGAACUCAUGUGAGACUGCCGGGGUCAACUCGGAGGAAGGUGGGGAUGACGUCAAAUCAUCAUGCCCCUUAUGUCUUGGGCUUCACGCAUGCUACAAUGGCCGGUAAAACGAGGGGGGAGGUUUAAUUCCGAAAAGAAUACAAAAAAACCGAGCUCCCUUCCCCUAAAAAUUUUUAACCCGACCCCAAAGGGAAUG
rnacentral:rRNA from 1 species